CAGUUUCAAUCUGUUGGGGACAAAUAAAGUGAAUGUGAGCAUCAAUCCCCCCUGCUGUGACAAUCAUGCCUUCCCCAGCAACUGCUUCGGUGCUAGGACCAAUAAUAAUAGUGACAUUGUCCUGGAUGUAGGGAUUUCCAGCUUUGCCAAUGUUAACUAUUUUGCCAUCUUUAAUACCAAUAUCGGCUUUAACAAUACCCCACCAAUCCAGGAUUAGGGCGUUAGUGAUCACCAAAUCCACAGCACCCUCGGCGCGGGAGAUGGGGGAUUGUCCCAUCCCAUCUCUA
rnacentral:sRNA from 1 species